AGUGAACGCUGGCGGUAGGCCUAACACAUGCAAGUCGAACGGCAGCACAGUAAGAGCUUGCUCUUACGGGUGGCGAGUGGCGGACGGGUGAGGAAUACAUCGGAAUCUACUUUUUCUUGGGGGAUAACGUAGGGAAACUUACGCUAAUACCGCAUACGACCUACGGGUGAAAGCAGGGGAUCUUCGGACCUUGCGCGAUUGAAUGAGCCGAUGUCGGAUUAGCUAGUUGGCGGGGUAAAGGCCCACCAAGGCGACGAUCCGUAGCUGGUCUGAGAGGAUGAUCAGCCACACGGGAACAGAGACACGGUCCAGAGUCCUACGGGAGGCAGCAGUGGGGAAUAUUGAGCAAUGGGCGCAAGCCUGAUCCAGCAAUACCGCGUGGGUGAAGAAGGCCUUCGGGUUGUAAAGCCCUUUUGUUGGGAAAGAAAAGCAGCAGGUUAAUACCCCGCUGUUCUGACGGUACCCAAAGAAUAAGCACCGGCUAACUUCGUG
rnacentral:rRNA from 1 species